CCAACAAACUUUAUGAGAUAUUAGAAGAGAUAUCAGAAAAGUGGCACACUUUCUAGUGUAAGACAAAAUAAGAAACAUAAGAUAUUCACAGAAGAAGAAGAGGAAAAUAUAACUAAAUAUUUGAUCCAAGCUAGCCAAAUUUUUUAUGGCCUUUCAAUUAAAAAGAUAAAAAUAUUAUCCACCAAAUGGCAGUAAAUAUGAAGAAAAUAUUUCCAAAAUCUUGGAAGGAAAAUUUAAUGGCCGGGCAUGACUGGUACUUUUCUACUCUCUCCUUAAGGUCCCCUGAAGCUACAAGUAUGGCUAGGGCAACUGGAUUUAAUGAAGAAGAUGUUCUAUACUUUUUUGAUUUAUAUAAAAGAAUAUUAGAUGAACAUAAAUUAGAAUGUAUGGCAAUUUACAACAUGGAUGAAACUGGACUUACCACAGUUCAAACCCCAUCCAAGAUAAUUGCACAAAAGAGGAAAAAACAGGUAGGAUCUAUGACUUCUGCAGAAAGGGGUACCUUAAUAACAUUAGCUCUAGCAGUAAAUGCAAUUGGCCAUGCAAUUCCUCCAAUGUUUCUUUUUCCCAGGAAAAAAUAUUAUGAUUAUUUUGUUAGAGAUGGUCCAUCUGGCUCUGAUGCAAUAGGAGGAUUUUAUUAUUUUUUGAAACAUUUUUCUAAACACACUCGGUGUACUCCAAUGAAGUGUUAUUAAUCCUUGACAAUCAUAUAUCACUUCUAUUCAGCUGUCAAAUUUUGUAUAGAUACGGGAAUAAUUCUAUUAUCUUUGCCACCCCACUGCACCCAUAAAUUAUAGCCUCUUGAUAGGUCUGCUUUUGGGCCUCUCAAAAAAUAUUACAAUAAUGCACUUCAU